AUGAUCCCGGCCGUCCCGGCGAUCGUGGACGGCGGCUUCCACGCCGCCCAGAGCGCGAAAGCGCCGCUGCUUCCGGAGACCAACCUCAAGGGUGGCCGUCCUCCGGCACGGCAGAAGCGCCCGUCGACCGUUCUCCCGGCCAUCGCGUGGACCGUGCUCCUUCUCGCGCUCGCCGGGCUCGUUGUCUACAGACAACGGCAUGGCGACGGCCAGGCCGCCGCGCCGGGAGACCAGGUCGCGGCAGCGGGCCGCGCCGUGGAGGUGGCCGCCUCCCGCGGCGUCGUGCAGGGCGUGUCGGAGAAGUCCACCGCCCCGGCGCUCCUCGGCGGCGGCGCCUACGACUGGACCAACGCGAUGCUGGCGUGGCAGCGCACGGCGUUCCAUUUCCAGCCCCAGAAGAAUUGGAUGAACGAUCCCAACGGUCCACUGUAUUACAAGGGAUGGUAUCACCUCUUCUACCAGUGGAACCCGGACGGGGCGGUGUGGGGGAACAUCACGUGGGGCCACGCCGUGUCGCGCGACCUCGUCCACUGGCUCCACCUGCCGCUGGCCAUGGUGCCCGACCACUGGUACGACAUCAAUGGCGUCUGGACCGGCUCGGCGACGCAGCUCCCCGACGGCCGGAUCGUCAUGCUCUACACCGGCUCCACGGAGGACGGCGUGCAGGUGCAGCUCCUGGCCGAGCCGGCGGACCCGUCCGACCCGCUGCUGCGGCGCUGGGCCAAGUCGGAGGCGAACCCCGUGGUGGUGCCGCCGCCGGGCGUCGGGCUGACGGACUUCCGCGACCCGACGACGGCGUGGCUCAACCCGGCCGACAAGGCCUGGCGGAUCACCAUCGGGUCCAAGAACCAGGAGCACGCCGGGCUGGCGCUGGUGUACAGGACGGAGGACUUCGUGCACUACGACCUGCUGCCCACGCUGCUGCACGUCGUGCAGGGCACCGGGAUGUGGGAGUGCGUGGACUUCUACCCGGUGUCCGCCGACCCGGCCGCCGGCGUGGGGCUCGACACCUCCGCCGCGCCGGGGCCCGGGGUGAAGCACGUGCUCAAGACCAGCCUCGACGACGACCGGAACGACUACUACGGCAUCGGCACCUACGACCCCGCGACCGACCGGUGGGCGCCGGACGACGCGGCGAUCGACGUCGGGAUCGGGCUCCGGUACGACUACGGCAAGUUCUACGCGUCCAAGACGUUCUACGACCCCGUGGGGCGGCGGCGCGUGCUGUGGGGGUGGAUCGGCGAGUCCGACAGCGAGCGCGCCGACGUGCUCAAGGGCUGGGCGUCCCUCCAGUCAUUCCCGAGGACGGUUCUCCUGGACACCAAGACGGGCAGCAACUUGCUGCAGUGGCCGGUGGUGGAGGUGGAGAACCUGCGCAUGCGCGGCAAGCGCUUCGACGGCCUCGACCUGCAGCCCGGCUCCGUCGUGCCCCUGGACGUCGGCAGAGCAACACAGUUGGACAUCGAGGCGGUCUUCCAGGUGCAGGCGGGCGCGGCGGCGGGGGCGGAGGCGCCGUACAACUGCAGCGCGAGCGCCGGCGCGGCGGGGCGGGGCUUGCUCGGCCCGUUCGGGCUGCUCGUGCUGGCCGACGACGGCCUGUCGGAGCAGACCGCCGUCUACUUCUACCUGGUCAGGGGCGCGGACGGGAAGCUCAGCACCCACUUCUGCCAAGACGCCUUCAGGUCAUCGAAGGCGAACGAUCUUGUCAAGGCCGUUUACGGCAGCUCCGUCCCUGUGCUCGACGGAGAAGAUCUGUCGGUGAGAAUACUGGUCGAUCAUUCCAUCGUGGAGAGCUUUGCUCAGGGCGGGAGGACAUGCAUCACAUCGCGCGUGUACCCUACGAAGGCAAUCUACGACUCUGCCAGAGUUUUCUUCUUCAACAACGCUACAAAUGUUAACGUCACCGCAAAAUCGAUCAAGAUCUGGGAGCUGAAUUCGGCCUACAUCCGUCCAUAUCCAUAUUCAUCAUAA
rnacentral:rRNA from 1 species